rnacentral:rRNA from 1 species
GAUGAACGCUAGCUACAGGCUUAACACAUGCAAGUCGAGGGGCAGCAUGAUUGAAGCUUGCUUCAAUCGAUGGCGACCGGCGCACGGGUGAGUAACACGUAUCCAACCUGCCGAUAACUCGGGGAUAGCCUUUCGAAAGAAAGAUUAAUACCCGAUAGCAUAGUAUUUCCGCAUGGUUUCACUAUUAAGGAACUUCGGUUAUCGAUGGGGAUGCGUUCCAUUAGAUAGUUGGCGUGGUAACGGCCCACCAAGUCAACGAUGGAUAGGGGUUCUGAGAGGAAGGUCCCCGACAGGGUGACCGAGACACGGUCGAAACUGAUACGGGAGGGAGCAGUGAGGGAUACUGGUGUAGGGAAGAGAGUAUGAUGCAGCCAAGUAGCGUGAAGGAUGACUGCGCUCGGGAUUGUGAACUUCUUUUAGUCGGGAAUAAAGGGGUGUAUGCAUACUCGUUUGUAUGUAACGGAUAAAGAAGGACCGGCUAACUACGUG